AGAGUUUGAUCCUGGCUCAGGACGAACGCUGGCGGCGUGCCUAAUACAUGCAAGUUGAGCGCUGAAGGUUGGUACUUGUACCAACUGGAUGAGCAGCGAACGGGUGAGUAACGCGUGGGGAAUCUGCCUUUGAGCGGGGGACAACAUUUGGAAACGAAUGCUAAUACCGCAUAAAAACUUUAAACACAAGUUUUAAGUUUGAAAGAUGCAAUUGCAUCACUCAAAGAUGAUCCCGCGUUGUAUUAGCUAGUUGGUGAGGUAAAGGCCCACCAAGGCGAUGAUACAUAGCCGACCUGAGAGGGUGAUCGGCCACAUUGGGACUGAGACACGGCCCAAACUCCUACGGGAGGCAGCAGUAGGGAAUCUUCGGCAAUGGACGAAAGUCUGACCGAGCAACGCCGCGCGAGUGAAGAAGGUUUUCGGAUCGUAAAACUCUGUUGGUAGAGAAGAACGUUGGUGAGAGUGGAAAGCUCAUCAAGUGACGGUAACUACCCAGAAAGGGACGGCUAACUACGUGCCAGCAGCCGCGGUAAUACGUAGGUCCCGAGCGUUGUCCGGAUUUAUUGGGCGUAAAGCGAGCGCAGGUGGUUUAUUAAGUCUGGUGUAAAAGGCAGUGGCUCAACCAUUGUAUGCAUUGGAAACUGGUAGACUUGAGUGCAGGAGAGGAGAGUGGAAUUCCAUGUGUAGCGGUGAAAUGCGUAGAUAUAUGGAGGAACACCGGCGGCGAAAGCGGCUCUCUGGCCUGUAACUGACACUGAGGCUCGAAAGCGUGGGGAGCAAACAGGAUUAGAUACCCUGGUAGUCC
rnacentral:rRNA from 1 species